rnacentral:misc_RNA from 1 species
GAUGAAGAACGCAGUGAAAUGCGAUAAGUAAUGUGAAUUGCAGAAUUCAGUGAAUCAUCGAAUCUUUGAACGCACAUUGCGCCCGCCAGUAUUCUGGCGGGCAUGCCUGUUCGAGCGUCAUUUCAACCAUCAAGCCCCCGGCUUGUGUUGGGGACCUGCGGCUGCCGCAGGCCCUGAAAACCAGUGGCGGGCUCGCUAGUCACUCCGAGCGUAGUAAUACAUCUCGCUCAGGGCGUGCUGCGGGUUCCGGCCGUUAAAAAGCCUUAUUUACCCAAGGUUGACCUCGGAUCAGGUAGGAAGACCCGCUGAACUUAAGCAUACAAUAAGCGGAGGA